UACGGGAGGCAGCAGUGGGGAAUAUUGCACAAUGGGCGCAAGCCUGAUGCAGCCAUGCCGCGUGUAUGAAGAAGGCCUUCGGGUUGUAAAGUACUUUCAGUCGUGAGGAAGGUGUUAAGGUUAAUAACCUUAGCAAUUGACGUUAGCGACAGAAGAAGCACCGGCUAACUCCGUGCCAGCAGCCGCGGUAAUACGGAGGGUGCGAGCGUUAAUCGGAAUUACUGGGCGUAAAGGGCACGCAGGCGGUUAAUUAAGUUGGAUGUGAAAUCCCCGGGCUUAACCUGGGAAUGGCAUUCAAGACUGGUUAGCUAGAGUCUUGUAGAGGGGGUAGAAUUCCAUGUGUAGCGGUGAAAUGCGUAGAGAUGUGGAGGAAUACCGGUGGCGAAGGCGGCCCCUGGACAAAGGCUGACGCUCAUGUGCGAAAGCGUGGGGAGCAAACG
rnacentral:rRNA from 1 species